GUGUCAGCAGCCGCGGUAAGACGAACCGUGCGAACGUUGUUCGGAAUCACUGGGCUUAAAGGGCGCGUAGGCGGGCCAUAAAGUCAGGGGUGAAAUCCUCCAGCUUAACUGGAGAACUGCCUUUGAUACUGAUGGUCUCGAGUAAGGUAGGGGCAUGCGGAACUGAUGGUGGAGCGGUGAAAUGUGUUGAUAUCAUCAGGAACUCCGGUGGCGAAGGCGGCAUGCUGGACCUUCACUGACGCUGAGGCGCGAAAGCUAGGGUAGCGAACGGGAUUAGAAACCCCGGUAGUCC
rnacentral:rRNA from 1 species